rnacentral:rRNA from 1 species
GACGGAGGGUGCUAGCGUUGUUCGGAAUCACUGGGCGUAAAGGGUGCGUAGGCGGCAUCACAAGUCAUGGGUGAAAGCCCGGGGCUCAACCCCGGAAUUGCCUGUGAAACUGCGGCGCUCGAGGCCGAGAGAGGGGGGUGGAAUACCCAGUGUAGAGGUGAAAUUCGUAGAUAUUGGGUGGAACACCAGUGGCGAAAGCGGCCCCCUGGCUCGGUCCUGGCGCUGAGGCACGAAAGCGUGGGGAGCAAACAGG